rnacentral:rRNA from 1 species
ACUUUCAACAACGGAUCUCUUGGCUCUCGCAUCGAUGAAGAACGUAGCGAAGUGCGAUAAGUAAUGUGAAUUGCGGAAUUCCGUGAAUCAUCGAAUCUUUGAACGCAAAUUGUACUCUCUGGUAACCCGGGGAGUAUGCCUGUUUGAGGGUCAGUG